rnacentral:rRNA from 1 species
UACGUAGGGUGCAAGCGUUGUCCGGAAUUAUUGGGCGUAAAGAGCUCGUAGGCGGUUUGUCGCGUCUGCUGUGAAAACUCGGGGCUUAACUCCGGGCCUGCAGUGGGUACAGGCAAACUAGAGUGCGGUAGGGGAGACUGGAAUUCCUGGUGUAGCGGUGAAAUGCGCAGAUAUCAGGAGGAACACCGGUGGCGAAGGCGGGUCUCUGGGCCGUAACUGACGCUGAGGCACGAAGGCCAGGGGAGCAAACGGG